UACGGAGGGUGCAAGCGUUGUUCGGAUUUAUUGGGCGUAAAGCGCGCGCAGGCAGAAUAGUAAGUAAGAUGUGAAAUCUCGAGGCUCAACUUCGGAACUGCGUCUUAAACUGCAAUUCUAGAAUAUCGGAGGGGAAUGGGGAAUCUCUCAUGUAGGGGUAAAAUCCGUAGAGAUGAGAGGGAACACCUGGGGCGAAGGCGCCAUUCUGGACGAUUAUUGACGCUGAGGCGCGAGAGCGUGGGGAGCAAACAGG
rnacentral:rRNA from 1 species